GAGGAAUAUUGGUCAAUGGGCGCAAGCCUGAACCAGCCAUCCCGCGUGAAGGAAGAAUGCGCUACGCGUUGUAAACUUCUUUUCCAGGGGGAGAAUUUUCCUGUCGAGACAGGGAUUGACGGUACCCUGGGAAUAAGCAUCGGCUAACUCCGUGCCAGCAGCCGCGGUAAUACGGAGGAUGCGAGCGUUAUCUGGAUUUAUUGGGUUUAAAGGGUGCGUAGGCGGAUUGAUAAGUCAGUGGUGAAAUUCUGCAGCUUAACUGUAGACUUGCCGUUGAUACUGUUAGUCUUGAGUGUGGUCAAGGCAGGCGGAAUGUGUAAUGUAGUGGUGAAAUGCUUAGAUAUUACACAGAACACCGAUUGCGAAGGCAGCUUGCUGGGUCAUUACUGACGCUGAUGCACGAAAGCGUGGGGAUC
rnacentral:rRNA from 1 species